rnacentral:rRNA from 1 species
AUGGCCACGGCGGUGCACGCGAGACGGCUGGCGGCCUCGCGCGACGACCCUUCGGCCGCCCCGACGUCGGGGAGGUCCCAGUUCGACCUCUCGUCGGGGGCGGCCACCGCCGUGGUGUUCCUCUCCAUCAUCCUCUGCUUCAUCCUGCUCUGCACCUACUGCCGCUGCGCUCGGCAGCGCGCCAUCGCGGCCGCGCGCGGCGGCCGCGCCAUGCGCCACGGCUUCCCGAGCGCCCUCCUCCGCCCGGCCGACGGCGCGGCGCUGCCCGUGGUGCGCUACGCCGACGCCGGCGCCGGCGCCAAGAAGGGGCAGCAGCCGGAGGGGGACUGCCCCGUCUGCCUCGAGGCCUUCGGCGACGACGACGGCGUCAAGGUCGUCCCGGCGUGCGGCCACGUCUUCCACGCCCCCUGCAUCGACCGGUGGCUCGACGUGCGCAACUCGUGCCCCGUCUGCCGGUGCGUCGUGGUCUGCCACUACGCCGACCGCGCAGGCCCGGGUGCCGGCGACGACGGCGACGACCAGGAGGUCGUCCUGGAGCGCGUGGUCGCCAUGAUCGAAGCUAUAAGAGAAGAGGAGGCCGCGGCGAGGCGCGCGCCGGCGACCGCGAGGGUCCGGGGGUGA